rnacentral:rRNA from 1 species
AACGUAGGAGACAAACGUUAUCCGGAGUUACUGGGCGUAAAGGGCGUGUAGGUGGUUUGUAAGUCUGGCGUGAAAUUUUUCGGCUUAACCGGGAAAGGUCGUCGGAUACUGCAGAACUAGAGGACGGUAGAGGCGUGUGGAAUUCCGGGUGUAGUGGUGAAAUGCGUAGAGAUCCGGAGGAACACCAGUGGCGAAGGCGACACGCUGGGCCGUACCUGACACUGAUGCGCGACAGCAUGGGGAGCAAACGAGGAUUAGAAACCCCAUA